rnacentral:rRNA from 1 species
GGGUCAUUAGGUUGGUCGUGCCACCGGUACGUACUGGUCUCACUGAUUCCUCCUUCCUGAAGAACCGUAAUGCCAUUAAUUUGGUGUUGCGGGGAAACAGGACUGUUACUUUGAAAAAAUUAGAGUGUUUAAAGCAAGCUAACGCUUGAAUACAUUAGCAUGGAAUAAUGAAAUAGGACGAUCGAUCCUAUUUUGUUGGGUUCUAGGAUUGACGUA